rnacentral:lncRNA from 1 species
AGCUGCUCGUGAUGUACUGCCACUGCAAACAGGAGUUUCCCAAGGUGGCAAUGUUUUCUGCACAAAACAGAAAAAUACAGACUCAUUUUGAAUUACGCUGGUUAAAAAUGGCAAAAGCACGUGAGCUUUCAGACAGAACUUGAGGGCGGAUCUGAAAAACUAUAGCAUGACUUUCUUCCUUCCUUUUUUUCUUUCUUUCUAAUAUCUAGCUCUGGUUUUCCUGUGAAGGAACCACUUUGGGCUGUGUCCCACCUCAACUGCAUGGGCAAAUGCAUUGAGGGGACCCACUUGAAAGAUACAUGCUUCCAGAGCAUAAAAGUAGGUCACUGCAGCACAGGAAGGGCCUUGCACAGCAGAAAACAACCACACAGCCACUGGGGAUGGAGCUGCAUGAGGAAUGCAGAGUCACGCUGUGGUUUCGAAGCUGCUUCUGCAUGAGCAACACGGUUCAGCAGAUCCCAGCUCUAGAGGUUGUAAUGUUACUCAUGAAGAUGCUGUGUAGGCAUUUCUGCAGCAAGGCUCCUUGCCUGUUUCAUGCAGGGCUGAGGAAGGCAUUCUCAUAAGCUGGCAUCACCCCUUGGUCUGCUCUGCUGAGCCAGGGUGCCAGGAAGGAGCAAGUGAGCUGCGCUUGGGCAGGAGCAGGUAGUUAGUAUCACUUUGUAUCUGCUGUUUGUCAAAUCCUGAUCCUACUAAGAUCCAAGAUUUCUCUUCAUUUUUAGAUGCCUGAUAAAGUGGAUGAAAGCUCUCUGAGAUUAUUAGCAUGAGGGAGAACUGGUUAUCUCCAUUUAACCUAUUCAAACAAUUGCUUCAAAUCGGAGGGGUUCAGCUACAGCCCAUCCAUAGACUGAGCAACAAGAUGUUGGUGACAUAUAAGUAAAUGCAUGUAACUCUUCAGAUUUGCUCAGUGUCUGUAUACAGGGUCUGUGCCCUUCUUGCUGGACUGGAAGGCUCACAUAAUUCUGUGUGGACCACAUGAUAAAUUUUAUUUGAAAUCUUAAUUUAACCUAGAAGUUUUAACAGUAAUGCUAAUGGUAAAUAUUAAAUCAAAUGGUUUACACCGAGGGCAGAAAUUGCGGCAGCUCUAUGAAUUUUCUUUUCAUCUAAUGGAAAGACUUUUUUGGAAAUAUUCCUAGAAAUUCCCUGUCCUGAAGUAGUUCCUGGUAGAGAUAAAUUAAAGGUCCAGUUCUGUUACAUUUAACAAGCAGAGAAAUAUUUUAUGAGUCUGAAUAAAUUAUCAGUAAAUGUUCUAUAUUUUGUUUUA